rnacentral:rRNA from 1 species
GAUGAACGCUGGCGGCGUGCCUUAUACAUGCAAGUCGAGUGGGUUUAGACCCACGGCACACGGGUGAGUAACACGUAGGUACUUUCCUUGUCACAGGAAUAACCCUCCGAAAGGAGGGCUAAUACCUGAUGUGAUCGCAAGAUUAAAGGGUAUCCGCAAGGAUUACCGGACAAGAAGAGGCCUGCGGCCUAUCAGCUAGUUGGCGGGGUAAAUGCCCACCAAGGCUAUGACGGGUAGCUGGUCUUAUGAGGAUGAUCAGUCACAUGGGCACUGAGACACGGGCCCAACUCCUACGGGAGGCAGCAGUAGGGAAUUUUGCGCAAUGGGCGAAAGCCUGACGCAGCGACGCCGCGUGCGGGAGGAAGGCCUUCGGGUCGUAAACCGCUUUUAUAAGGGACGAACUUUGACGGUACCUUAUGAAUAAGAGGUUGCCAACUCUGUG